rnacentral:tRNA from 1 species
UAAAAGAUAAGCUAAUAAAGCUACUGGGCCCAUACCCCUUCUAUGUGAGUUAACCUCACUCUUUUAA